rnacentral:rRNA from 1 species
AUACGUAGGGGGCGAGCGUUGUCCGGAAUGAUUGGGCGUAAAGGGCGCGUAGGCGGCCCGGUAAGUCUGGAGUGAAAGUCCUGUUUUUAAGAUGGGAAUUGCUUUGGAUACUGUCGGGCUUGAGUGCAGGAGAGGUAAGUGGAAUUCCCAGUGUAGCGGUGAAAUGCGUAGAGAUUGGGAGGAACACCAGUGGCGAAGGCGACUUACUGGACUGUAACUGACGCUGAGGCGCGAAAGUGUGGGGAGCAAACAGGAUUAGAUACCCUAGUAGUCCACGCCGUAAACGAUGAGUACUAAGUGUCGGGUAACCGGUGCUGAAGUUAACACAUUAAGUACUCCGCCUGAGUAGUACGGUCGCAAGGUUGAAACUCAAAUGAAUUGACGGGG